rnacentral:lncRNA from 1 species
GUUGAGUGAAUGUCUCCAGUCAUAGAGAUGCAAGUGUAGAUACACAGUAAGAGUAGUAUGAAUGGCAGACACCUUGGAAGGCUAUUUCUUCCUUCAUUCAUUCAGUUGGUCACUCAAUGAACUAUCAUGAAUUGAGCACUACCUCUGUUUCUUAUCAACAAAGGAGACUACGGAAAGGAAGAAUGACUAAGAUCUCUGAAGAAGGGAAAAGCUAGAUGACUGGGCCACAAGAGGAAAAAAAGCAGCAAGACAGAGAAUAAGUACCCACUGCACUCUUGCCCUGGGCCAUCAAUGAGAAGAUCUGCUCUUAGUGGAGCCCUGCUUUCGCGGUGAAGGCCUUGAAGUCGCGUGUGUUCUAGACUGCCCACUAAGGAUGAAAAAAGAUGCUGUGAGAUGAAGAAGUAGCUCAAGUGGUGGAGUGCUCGCUUAGCAUGUGAGAGGUAGUGGGAUUGAUGCCCACAUUCUCCAGGUUUCACUAGUCGGACCUCAGGUCUCCAGGUUACAGUGGAAAAAAAUAUGUGUUAGACACUGAUCUCAGAAAACAGUAAGUUAGACACUCAUCUCAGUAGCAGCCUGGACACUUCUUUGGCUCAUUAUGUAAGGGCAGCAACAAUACGGGCUUGACUAAGAUUCUACUGGUAUGUGGUAUAGUAUAGAUCUAUCGAUGUGUAAUUAGUUUUCUGUUUCUUUGAGGAGCUGUGAUACAAAGGGACAUAUCCAGUUGCACUUAUUCUCCCUGUUUCCUCCUGCAGCUUGGUCCUAAAUGCAGCAUAAUUAUGGAAAGCGCAGGGCAGAGCCACUCAGGUAAAUACAGCCCCAGCUUUCUGAUCGGGAGACCGAAACUAGGAGUUGCCAAGUAACCAGGAAAGACACUGUGGAGAGCAAACCUGUCAAGUUGUAUGUGAACUCCUGGAUGCGCCUGUGAGCUGUGAAUAAGUGGCUCUGAUCAAAGACAACUUAUCUAAAAAGAGCCUGAGAAUCGAACUAAGUGAUAGCCUACUUUCCAGUCCUCACUGGCCACUGGGUUGCACAUACUCCAGAGUCUCUGAAUAGCAGUGUUAAGGCUUUGAAAAUAGAAUCGACUUUGAAACUACAACACACAAGGCUGGCUGGUUAUUGGAACUUGAACACAAGGCAAUCACAUGCCUGCAAAAACAAAAAUAGCAAUAUUAUCCUUAAGAUUUCAACAAGACACAGUGUCUCAUCACAUAAUGCAAAGUACAACCCCAAAAUAUUCAGCAUAUGAAGAACCAGGGCAAUCUUAAUUCACUUGGCAAAGAGAAUCCUCGAAUAACAAUACUGAGAAGACACAGAUGUUACAAUCAUCUGACACAUACUUUUAAGCAGUUAUUACAACAAUGCUCCAUGAAUGAAAGGAUAACACUCUUGAAGUGAAUGGAAAGUUGGGAAGUCUUAGCAAGUAUCUGGAAGCUCUAAACACUGAUUUUAAACUUAAAAAUUAAAAAAUGUAUUCAUCAAAACUAUUAGGAGAAAAAAAACUUCAAUGGGUUAUUUCAAUAACAAAAUUGAGACACUCAGAAUAAAGUCAAUGAACUUGAAAACAGAACAAAAAUACCAACCUAACCUGAACAAUAGAGAAAAAGGAGUGCUUUUGCAAAUGAACAGAGCCUCCCGGACAAACAGAAAAAUAAGAAAAAUCUAACACAUCAUUGUAAUCCUGCAGGAAGAAGAGAAAGAGGUCCUCCAGAAAGAAAACUCCGAAGAAUUAAUGGCUGAAAACAUAUCAAAUUUAUCAAAACACUUUAGAAGUUCAAUAAAUGUCAAGUAGGUUAAACCCAAAGAAAUCCAUACCCAGACACAUCAUAAUCAAACUGCUGAAAACUAAGGAAAACCAUAAAAAUCUUGAAGGCAGCCAAAUGAAAAUAAAAGGGAAACUGCCACUUGAAUGACUGUGGACUUCUCAUCAGAAACCAUAGGGGCCCAAGGAAACAUUUACUAAAUACCAAAAGAAAAGACCUGUCAACCCAGAAUGCUAUGUAGAGCAAAAAUAUCUUUCAGACUAAAGGUAAAUAAAUACAUUCUCACAGGAAGGUAAACUGAGAGAAUUCAUUGCUGGUAGAACUGCUGGACAAGAAUUAGCAACGAUUUAAGAUGAGAAAAAUGAUACCAGAAAGAGACAGGACACCAUCAGUGAAGGAACGAAAGCCGAAAUAGAAAAUGUCUGGGUAGACAUUACAGACUAUUAUUCUUCUCUUGAGUUCCUUAAGGAUCCCGACUCAGAUUGAAAAAGCAGAGGAUGGUCACUGCCUUCCAGGUCUGAGGCUGUCUCCCAGAAACUUCAUUCCUCGCUUCGCCUUGGUUCUCCAUCACUUUCUGAGUCCUACAGGAGGA